UUCGCAAUGCCCGAAAGGGUGACGAAGCGACGCCGCGUGCGGGAAGAAGGCCUUCGGGUUGUAAACCGCUGUCGGGAGUUAAGAAAUGCAAGGAUGUUAACAGCGUCCUUGCUUGACUAAGGCUCCGGAGGAAGCCACGGCUAACUCUGUGCCAGCAGCCGCGGUAAUACAGAGGCGGCAAGCGUUGUUCGGAAUUAUUGGGCGUAAGGAGCACGUAGGCGGCCGUGUAAGUCGGUUGUGAAAGCCUUCCGCUCAACGGAAGGACGGCAUCCGAUACUGCAUGGCUCGAGUGCGGGAGGGGAGAGUGGAACUUCUGGUGGAGCGGUGAAAUGCGUAGAUAUCAGAAGGAACACCGGCGGCGAAGGCGACUCUCUGGCCCGUAACUGACGCUGAGUGUGCGAAAGCUAGGGGAGCAAACGGGAUUAGAUACCCCGGUAGUCCUAGCCGUAAACGAUGGGCACUAAGUAGAGGGGUUUU
rnacentral:rRNA from 1 species